rnacentral:rRNA from 1 species
GAUGAACGCUAGCGGCAGGCUUAAUACAUGCAAGUCAAGGGGCCAGCAAUGGCACCGGCGGACGGGUGAGUAACGCGUACACAACGUACCUUUAACUGGGGGAUAGCAUCUGGAAACGGGUGGUAAUACCGCAUGUGGUUGCGGGGAGGCAUCUCCUUGUAACUAAAACUUUGGUGGUUAGAGAUCGGUGUGCGUCUGAUUAGCUAGUUGGUAGGGUAGAGGCCUACCAAGGCGACGAUCAGUAGGGGGCGUGAGAGCGUGAACCCCCCACACGGGUACUGAGACACGGACCCGACUCCUACGGGAGGCAGCAGUAAGGAAUAUUGGUCAAUGGAGGGAACUCUGAACCAGCCAUGCCGCGUGAAGGAAGAAGGCGCUACGCGUUGUAAACUUCUUUUGGGUGGGACGAAAAUAAUCCAUUUAUGGAUAGCUGACGGUACCAUCAGAAUAAGCACCGGCUAACUCCGUGCCAGCAGCCGCGGU